rnacentral:rRNA from 1 species
UACGUAGGGCGCAGCGUUAUCCGGAAUUAUUGGGCGUAAAGAGCUCGUAGGCGGCCGUUCGCGUCGGAUGUGAAAGCUCAGGCUCAACUCUGACGACGCCAUUCGAUACGGGACGGCUAGAGGUAGGUAGGGGAAAGUGGAAUUCCUGGUGUAGCGGUGAAAUGCGCAGGAUAUCAGGAGGAACACCGGUGGCGAAGGCGGCUUCUGGGCCUUACCUGACGCUGGAGGAGCGAAAGCUGGGGGAGCGAACGGG